rnacentral:tRNA from 1 species
UGGGGCGUAGCUAAGCGGUAAGGCAGCGGGUUUUGAUCCCGUCAUUCGGAGGUUCGAAUCCUUCCGUCCCAG